CCACGGCCCGUGCUUCCUGCACCCUGCUUACACAGGCAGCAAGGUGGGGGAGAGAAAACUGUUUCCAAGAGAAGGAUUACAUCCUACAUUAAGGCCGAGGGUGGACGACUCCGAUUCCUUUCUCCCACGCCGUUAAUAAAACCUCGGGGAAGCAGCGCUCACACACACACCGCACUGCGCCGCUCUCCCGGGGGAGGGGAAGGACGCGCCGCCCGAGCGGGACGAGCCGCGGGGCCGCGCCGAGGGACGGUGUCCGACUCGAGGCCUCCAGCCGCGGCUGGGGAGCGGAGCGGCUCACACCCCCACCCCGCCUUCUCCCAGUCCCGCGGCGGGCUCCUACCGUACGGAGGAUCCGCACUCAGGCCCCGGCCCGGCCUUCCCCUCGCUUCUGAGGGGAGCGAAGCGAAACCGAAAGCAGCCGGACUGCCAUCGCCGGAACCCGGCGGCCUCUCCGGCCCCCUUCCUUCCUUCCGUCCUUCCUUCCUCCCUCCCCCUCGGUGCUCCCGCCGUCCCCUCGCCGCGACCCCUCACCAUGUGGCGGCUGUGCCCGCGAUGCCGAUUAUUGGCAAGUCUCAUGGUGAUUUCCAUCUAGAGUUUACAGCGGCUGCCCCAGAAACAGUCACCCAGGAAAGUCUGUGGCUACAGAAACUACCCACAACACCUGGACCACAGCAGAAUUUCCCUGAUGACAAAAGCAUUGCUUGCUGCUAAGAGGCAUUGUAGCUGUGAUCUGUGACCCAGCUGUAUUAUCUUAGAGAUGGGGACGAUUUUGGAAACAUUGACUGAAGGGCGACUUGUGUGCAUAGGAAGAAGGGGAAUUUUUUAUCACCUAAUACUGAAAUUGCCCUGACGUGCCUUGAAUGGAGUAUUUUUACCACAGGCUUCCGGGCUGCAAAUGUAAAUGGCACAGCCCAAACGUUUAGCUUAGAAGGGGAGUUUUAAUGACGAAUGGAGUGUGCAAGGCUGGGGAGAACUGUAGAGCCCAGAAAGUCAAGCAGACCAAAGCAAGAUGAUGAGGGCAAUGAACACAGCAAGAAGAAGAAGAAAAAAGAAGCUAAUUUCUCAUAUGUUCCUAAGUUGUUCUGAAAGUAAUGCUUCCUAUUUAUUUCCAUGUGAACUACCACAGAUACAAAGAGCACAGUAACACCAUUUAAUAGUGCAAAUUCUCAGCUACAAAACACUCUUCUUCUACACAGUCACUACCAUUAGCUAUUCAUUUUCGCCUGUGAUAAACAAGAACCUGUAUGCUGUGGUAAUAAACAUCUGCACAACAGAGAUGACCCGCUGCUU
rnacentral:lncRNA from 1 species